rnacentral:tmRNA from 1 species
GUGGCACAAUGAUCAGGUCCGUCCUUGGGCGGACUAGGUGGCUCACACCAGUGCUUCGGACAGCGGUUCGAUUCCGCUCAGCUCCACUUCACUCUUCUUCAGGGUGAUCAUCCAGGGGCUGCAAUGGUUUCGACGGGGUAAGAGGAGGGUGACUGAAGCCUGCUCGGUAAGAGCAAAUCCGUAACAGCGAACAACAUCGUUGCUUUCUCCCGUCAGCCCGCCCCUGUGGCCGCCUGACUCCUUAGGGAGAUGGGGUAAGUCAGCCUUAUCACCCAAUUGACUCACGGGGGCUGGAAGGCCCC